rnacentral:rRNA from 1 species
GAGUUUGAUCAUGGCUCACAUUGAACGCUGGCGGCAGGCUUAACACAUGCAAGUCGAGCGGGGAAUGGUAGCUUGCUACCUGACCUAGCGGCGGACGGGUGAGUAAUGCUUAGGAAUCUGCCUAUUAGUGGGGGACAACAUUCCGAAAGGAAUGCUAAUACCGCAUACGCCUUACGGGGGAAAGCAGGGGAUCUUCGGACCUUGCGCUAAUAGAUGAGCGUAAGUCAGAUUAGCUAGUUGGUGGGGUAAAGGCCUACCAAGGCGACGAUCUGUAGCGGGUCUGAGAGGAUGAUCCGCCACACUGGGACUGAGACACGGCCCAGACUCCUACGGGAGGCAGCAGUGGGGAAUAUUGGACAAUGGGCGCAAGCCUGAUCCAGCCAUGCCGCGUGUGUGAAGAAGGCCUUUUGGUUGUAAAGCACUUUAAGCGAGGAGGAGGCUACUGAGAUUAAUACUCUUGGAUAGUGGACGUUACUCGCAGAAUAAGCACCGGCUAACUCUGUGCCAGCAGCCGCGGUAAUACAAGGG